UAGACCAUCAGUUUUGUGCGUUAAGUUGUCUCUUUAUUUUCCUCAAUUACUUGUAUUAAACCCCCGCUUUAUCCACCAGUUUGACAACAUAAUAUCAUCGCACAACAAUCCUAAUUGCCUCUCUCAAACUCAACUUCUAAGAAGCUCCAUAGAAUUGGCUGAAGGGAUCAAGCUUAGUUCCUCCUUGCUAUCUAAAGUCCUUUAAACGUUUUGAGGUUCUAGUGCACAAGUCCGCGGUCAGGCGUCUCAUUAGGAUCUCUAUCUUCUGCUAUUGGAUCUGAGAACUGGGAAGAUAAUUGGUCGAGGCCAUAGACAAGGGGAACUCUUCAUCUUAUAUUUGGGAUCAUCCUCCAACUCUCAUAAGUGUUUUGUUGCUCCAUCUUCUCAGGAGGUCAACUCCGCCAAUGCUCUUUGGAAACUGUGGCAUAGGCGUUUGGCAAAUCCUCAUACUAAGCGUCUCAAGUUCUUGUUUUCUUCUGGGGAUUUAGUGUCUAAGAUAGAUUUCAAUAAUAAUGUCAUUAUUGAUUGUGAAUCUUGUGCUCUUGCAAAAUCACAGUUGUUGCCAUUUAAUAAAAGUAUUCAAUAUACUACUUCUCCCUUUGAACUUGUUCACUCUGAGGUUUGGGGUCCUGCAAGCUCCAAGUCGCUCUCUAGCAAUUUUUAUUAUGUUAUAUUUUUAGAUGAUGUAACCCGAUUUACAUGGAUUUACUUUCUUAAACACAAAUCGGAGGUAUUCAAGGUCUUUAAGUAUUUUUAUGCCAUGUUCUUACUCAGUUUGAGAAAAAUAUAAAUAUCCUUCGCACGUACUCGGGCGGUGAAUACAUCUAUAAAGAUUUUGAGCAUUUCUUCGCUACUGGAGGUGUCAUUCAUCAGAAAACUUAUUCUCAGCAGUCUCAGCAGAAUGGUGUUGCUGAGCGGAAGCAUCACCAUAUUAUUGAAAUAGCCUAUGCUCUUCGACUUCAUGCCAAUUUGCCACAAUUAUUUUGGGUUGACUGUGUCCACAUAGCUCUGUAUCUCAUUAAUCGGAUGCCCACUAAGGUUCU